GUGCCAGCCGCCGCGGUAAUACGAAGGGUGCAAGCGUUGCUCGGAAUUAUUGGGCGUAAAGGGUUGGUAGGUGGUCUUGUUUGUCUAAGGUGAAAUCCCAUGGCUUAACUGUGGAAGUGCCUUAGAAACGGCAAGACUAGAGUCCUAGAGGGGUUUGUGGAAUUCCCGGUGUAGCGGUGAAAUGCGUAGAGAUCGGGAGGAACACCAGCGGCGAAGGCGGCAAACUGGAUAGGCACUGACACUCAACAACGAAAGCGUGGGGAGCAAACAGGAUUAGAUACCCCAGUAGUCC
rnacentral:rRNA from 1 species